ACACAAACCAGGCUGGGAUUCUAUGAUUCUACAAUCAUUGUAAGUAGUUUCCAACUGAAAUAAUUCUAUUCUGUUCCAUUCUAACACAGUUAAUCACUCAUGACACUGAUUUCAAUGGAGUCUUCAAUGACAAAUGUACUGUUAAAGAACAGAUGUUCUGUUUAAUGUUCUGUUAAAGAACAGAAUCUGCUUCUGAGAUUGUCCAUGGUAUUAUGGCGUUCAUACUGUAAGGACAGGAACCUCUAGAGAUACGUUUCUGCCCCAAAGGACAUGGAGGAAAAAAUGCUUUCUUACUAAUUUUGCCAUGUUUAGAAUUUUUGUCUGUUUACAGCCUUACUGUGGGGAAAUCCAGACACUUGAGAAUAUAGUGUGUUAUGUUCACUUUCUAUCUAUCUAAAGAGUAAAAAAAUACGCAUUAUUCUGUAGCUCCAUUCCCAUCCCCAAAACACUGUGGAUACAAACUUUAACAGUAUGAGGAUGGGCUUUUCUUAUCAACCUUGAGUUAGAUGAAUUACAAAAGGUGAUCAAAAAGUUGUUUCAGGACUAAAUCAGCCAAAUGGACUGGAAUGUGAUGGAGACAGAUGAGAGAAAUUGGGAAAUACUUGAAGUUUUAAAUGUGCACACGUUUUUAUAUAAGAAACCCCCUGAAAGGAACCGUACAACUCCAAGCCUAAUCUCCAAGACUGGGGUGACUUGACCAAAUAGGUCAGCAAAGGGCACAUUAUUUAUUAGGAUGUUCUGGAAGGUACCUUUGUGGAGACAAUGGCUGGCAAUAGCAGUAUCUACAACUCUGGGUAUUGUAAAUGCCUUCAGUUGUCCCACUAGCAGGAUGUCUGUGGUAGUUUAGCAGCUCCUGUGCUAGUUUCUUCCAUUAACCACAACAUUGUGUACUUACAGUGCUGAUUGACCCUCCCUGGACUUGUGAGCAGACGGUACCCACAAAAGCCAUUCCAAUGGAUCCACUGUAAGAGCUUCUCCCUCUGCAACAAAAGCAGUUUGAAGGUGGUGGUGGAAGAGGGGCUGAAUGUUUGAAAGUUCUACUAAAAGACUUUCAAUUUCAAAGCAAGUAUUUGCUUCAAACUCGUCAAACUGUUGAGUUUGAAGCAAAUAUUGUAAGGCAAAUUUUGGUCUUGAAGUCAAGAAGAAAUUUAUCACCAUAUCAGGGUUUCACUAAAAUUAAUAAUGAAUAUCUGAAUAACAUAGCUUGAAAACAAUGAUAAGUCACCCAAUUCUGCUGUGUCAGUGUUUCUGAGUUCACAGAACCACAGAAUGAUUGAGCUUGGAAGGCAGCUCUGGUCAUCUGGUCUGCUCAAGCAGGGCCACCUCAAGUUGAUUACCUGUAAAGCAUUCAUUAUAGUUUCUUGUCGUUUUUCCAGGUUAAAAGUUUGGAAGUUGAGUGAAUUUUACUCCAGUUGUAUUUUCAUUCAUACACAACUCCCAAACCAUACACAUCAGCAACACUGGCAGCGUGGGUAGUUCUUCCACUGAAGGAAAACUUACAUGAUGAGAUGGGCAACAUCAUUUCUUGAUCGUUUAAGAAGAUCUUUCUGUCUCCAAGAAACGAAUCUACUGAGUACAUCUCCAGCUGAACCUUCCAUCACAGAUAUGUGGAUGUCCUUAGCAAUACUCCCACCAGUUUGAGGGCCAUGAAAAUGAAAACAACAAGGAAGUGGCCUGGCAGGGCAAAUGCACCUGCAGUGACACCAUGCCCAAGCAAGAGCUCUGGAGCCCCUCGGCUGCUGGGACAGACCAAGGAGGUGGCUUGGACUGCAGCUCUCAAGAGAGAAACAGAAAUGUAUUUACCCUCAAAAGCUUCUCCCUGCUAGAGGUACUGUUUGGUACAAAGGUAUAUUUCACAGGCUGCUUCACAAACAUCUCCUCAUGAUGAAGGCUGCUGUUCAGCACACCACACUGGAAGGGGAUAUCCUGCAUAUCUUCCAACUGGUAAAACACAUGUUCAAAUGUGCUGGAUGUGUUGAGCGGUUCCAUUCCGUACCAUUUGCCACCAAUGUAGAGAAUUCCUCUAAUAAUCGUAAAAGAAUGAAAAAUUAUUCCAGAGGUUUUCCCUCAUGGUUAUGAGUGAGUGAAUGACAGCUGGAUAUUUAGAAACUAGAACUGUUCAUACCACUAGGUUGAAAUAAAUUAUUAUCUUAAAUUAUCUUAAUAUAGGGUAUAAGCUCAAAUGCCCAACAGCAUCCCAAAAGGCAAAACAGAACUUAUUUAAAAUGCUUGAGUGUGCACAGUAUGGGCUCCUUGAGUCAGUUAGUUAGAAAAGAGAGAAAAAGGAGAAAGCAAGCCAAAUUGUUACUGAAUGAGUCUGGAUUGUAGUGAUGCAAAAGGUCUCUUUUAGUCCUUAUCUCUAGUCUCGCUCCUAGCCCCAUGCAGCUAAAAUAAUCUAGUAUUUUAGAAAAAGAUAUUUUCUAAGACAGAAAGAGAGGCUAAAAGCAAUCACCAGGGUGUUUAUGAGGGCAACAGCAGUAUUGCACUGCUGAGUGCAUUUGUCCAUGGCUCAUAAACACCUGGUCCCUGCCCAUUUGCUGUACUAGAAUCUUUCAGAAGCUAUUAUCUUAUUUUCCAGAAUCUCAAACUAUAUUUAGAACAACAAUUCUCUAGUUAAUAUCGUGUGAAAGAAGAUCCUCAAAUACAUGAGUGCAAAGUAACCAAAGGAUUUGAGCUUGCGUAAGUUUUGCAGAACAGCCAAAAUCAUAGAAUCAUAGAAUCAUAGAAUGGUUUGGGUUGGAAAGGACCUUAAGAUCAUCCAGUUUCAACCCCCUGCCAUGGGCAGGGACGCCUCACACUAGACCAUGUCACCCAAGGCUCUGUCCAACCUGGCCUUGAACACUGCCAGGGAUGGGGCAUUUAUCAGUGCUUAGUGAGAUCCAGCAUUACCUGAAAUACCAGUACACUGAACCAUUUUAUUCUUCCUUUAAAGGAAUGCCACAAAGUGUCAUUAUUUGUUAUGAGUAGCAUCUCACUGUGAUACUAUUCAUGAAAGAUAUGUGGGUGAUCUUUAUCCAAUUGCCUCUUCCUGCUUGUCAAAAAGACAUCAGACUGAACAAGGCUACUACAUGCCACAGGUAUAACCAAAGUCCAGCUAAAGAGCCCAGCUCAGUGAACACCGGGGAGCAUGGACACGCUAAUCUGCACAAUGUGCUUUGUGUGCCAUCUCAUUUUAUCAGCUCAUAUGGACUGAUUCUGUGGGGACAAAUCACUGUACUUUAUGCAUUAAUCUGGUCCCUGUAUGAUUCUCGAAUAAAGGUAAUUUUAUUGCUUUUGAAACACACAAAAAAUUAUUUCAAAUUUGGUAAAAAAAAAUGAGGAAAGGCUGAGAGAGCUGGGUUUGUUCAGCCUGGAGAAAAGAAGGCUCAGGGGAGACCUUGUCCCCAUGUUCCAGUAUGUAAAGGGUGGCUACAAAGAUGGAGACUCCCUUUUUACAAGGAGUCCCAUGGAAAAGAUGAGGGGCGAUGGGUACAAGUUACUCCUGGGGAGGUUCUGACUGACACAAGAGGAGAAUUUUUCACCAUGAGAACAAUCAGCCAUUGGAAUCAUCUCCCCAGGGAAGUGGUGGAUUCCCCAACAUUGGACACUUAAGAUUCAGCUGGACAGGGUGCUGGGACGUCUAGUCUAGGUCAUGCUGUUGCCAAUCCAAUCUGGGAUUCUAUGGUUCUAUGAUUGAGUGUUUUAAACUCAGUGAAAGCUCCAUCAGAUUGUGUUUCUUCUACAAAGGUGUCUCUGGUCAAGACAUUUGCAUCAAGUAAUAGAGGCUUCAGUUCAUGCCUGUGUUUUGCCUAUAUUUAGAUUAUGCUCUCUCUCAUGCUAUCUUUUUUCUGUGAAGGAAUUUUGGAAAAAGGGACAAAAGGGGUCGUUGAGGAAAACUAUAAAACCUGUAGAGAGUUUCAACUUCAUCAAAAGGUGAAGUAUUAAAAGUAUGAGAAAGAUUUGCAAGAUAGGAUGGUGUUUUUCAGCUGUAUGAUGAAUUUUACUGUUUUACAUUGGUAUUGCACAAUGAAAUACCCUGAAGUAACAAGCAAAAGGUAAUACCUAAGGCCAUCGCAUGUGCUAAGAGCGAGCACUGAGUCAGCAAUUCCUUCAACAGUGCCAUGAUAAUAACAGUGUGUCUGAAAUGCAACAAAACCACAUAAUUAAUGACAAAAGAAGGUUGUUGCCUUCAAAUGCAAACUUAUUUUCUAACCUUUGUAUUUGCAUGACAUGAAGGCUGGCUGUUACAUAUUUACAGAGUUCCCUGUUCUAGAAGUAAUCCCAGCCUUCUUGGAGUAAAAUAUGAUGUGACAUGAGUACCUACCACAGGCCCCUUGCUUCUCAAAAAUAACCAGCUUUUUAGUUUAACCCAUCACCAUCUUUUAGCAAAAUCUUUUCACCUACAUUGCUCACCCUGUUCUUAAGCAGACUCUUCUCAAAGGCUGAUCUGAGAAUAUCUCCCAUGCACAAAGCAUCCCAUUAGGUCUUGCCAAGUUCACAUACAGUUUAAAGUUGAAAUGAAAUUCAAAAGUAUUUAUAAGGCUUGUUUGGUACUUAAAACCUACAAAGCUUUGAUGCUGCCGUUGUAUCUUUAAUUGCAUACUAUGCAAAGGAGACCUUAUCAGGCAGCUCAAAUUCAGUCUUGGCAUUAUCUCUUGGCAUCUCCUUUCACACCUUGGAAAACAGUGAUGCUGUAUCACCAUAAACAGCCCACUCCCUCAUAAAACACAGAACCUCUUUUGUACCAGUGGAAAUUGUUAAACAGAAAUGCUACAAAUGUGAAAACUCACAGAAACCUGUUUCCAGACAAAUAUAUCUUUCUUUUGUAGACGCUUUAUGUGCAUCACUUGUAUUUUUCCUUUCAUUGCCAAAAAUGUAACCUAUUUUCACUGCCCUAUUAUAGAGAUACGAAGGCACUCAGAAUUAAUGGUAGUGCAUUCGCUUUUGCUUUGACAAUACAUUUAGAUGCAUACACAUCCUUGUGGUUGUCCUCAGUUCUAUCAAAUUGUUAAUAUCUCCUUCAAUUUAUAAAGCUUGGCUUCCCCAUUUCGAGGAAACUGACACAAAAGGGGAAUUUUAUUACACACAGUACCUCAUUUUUUGAUUGCGUUGCCUCCAGUUUCCCAUUUUCCCCAUAUGUGUAGAGCAUAAAGUCUUCACUAACAAGCUUUCUGGAAACAAAAAUAAACUACUGCUCUUUUAACAGUCUAGAAAGCAAGAAAUAAGUCAGGAAUCCUAGUAAAAAAUACACACUGUUAGCAGCACACUCAUGCUAAAUGAUAUUAAAAUCCAUGGAUGUGAAACAAAAUACCUUAAAAUGAGCUGAAUUACUUGGAAAAUAAGUUAUUUUGAAAUAUUUUAACUAAAAUAUCCAUAGAGUAGGAUCUGAGCAGACUGUGCUGCAUCAGGGCCUGGGCUAUUACAGGCUCAGGAAUGAGGAACAACAGUAACAGACACAUUUCUUCACAUACAACAUGGCUAACAACCCUCCCCUCAGUAGUAAGAAGCUAAUACCGAGAUGAAUUUUCAUGUUCCAUAAGGAUUUUCUGAAAUGUACUAUCUUGUGCUGCUAAUAAAUAAUCAAAAUACAUUUCUUCAGAGCUAGAAAAAAAUAUUCUUUUUUAAUUUUAUAAUAAUAAUAUUAUUUAAAUAGUACCAUAACAGAGACACUGUUUAACAGAGUCCUUUUGAAAUUAGUACAAUCUGCCAUUUAAAUGGUUUCUUCUGGAUUUUUUCAGUAUAAAACCACUUGUCUAUAUGCAGCUAACUCCCAAAAUGGUGUGAUUCCUUAGAACACUCAUAGCAUACUUGUUUCUCUUCAGUUUUAGGAGAUAUGUUCCAUUUCUGGUUUUAACUGAGUAAGAAAGAUUGUCAUCGGGAAGCUCCUGAAAACAGAACAAAAGAGAUCACUGAAUUAGGAGAGUUUCUACUUGGUUGUGUGGGUUCCAUGUUUUGUUUGAGAAGAGGGGUCCAACUACUAUAUAUGUUUUAAGUACCUACCAAAACACAGAUUCCUAACCCUUGUGCCUUUUCUAUUUCAGUCUCAGCAGCACAUUCUAUAUUGUUCCCUAUGGAAAGUUUAAAUUCUAUUUAUCUAUACAUUUUCAUUUAGAAGACAGAAGGGCACAGCACGUGAAUGCACUCUUUAUCCAACUACCACAUUGUGUUUCGUGACACCUUAUGUAAACGACUCACAGAUCCUUCCUUCCCUAAUGGCUUUGCACAAAGAUGACUAAUGCUGUUUCAUUAUUAGUUACUGCAGUAAUUGAUCUUGAUAUCUAGCACAAAGGUAAGUGACCUCAGAACUGAGGAACUAAGGCUCAGAUUGUUCUUUUAACUCAUUCAUCUAUGCGACUCUGUGGGACCAUUUCUACUAAGCGAGCAUCAGCCCUUUAGGCGCUACAUGGUUGAAAUCCUCUGGUUAUCCAAAGACCACGUACAAUGAGCAAAAGGGCAUAUACAGCACAGACAUUAGUCAAGUUCAAGAUCUAAUCUGACUUGGAGGAAAUGGAAAUAUUCUUCAUGUUCCUUCUCACUUCUAUCUGACAACUCUGUUAAAAGGACUAGAAGUUUGAAUGGCGCUUACUUAAAGUGCAAUUGCAGAGUUUUGUGGGAACAAAUUUACUCAAAACUAGUUGAAAACGCAAAGAAUCUGAAGAGAUAGUGUGGGGCACAUUCCUUUACAAAAAUAACCUAUAUACACCAUACACUCUGUGCGUGUAAUAUUAGUAUUGUGCAAAACAGCAACAUCAGAAGUAAAAAUGAGGUAGAAUAACCAACCUCGUGAUAAAAUGGAUGAUGUUUUUCUCUGCUUGUCAGACGAGGAAUAAUUAUUUCUAAUGUAGAAAGUCUGGAUGUCUGUUCAGAAGAUACACCUGAAAAUAAAGAGCUCUUGGAUUAUGCUGGAGAAGUCACAGAAAUCAAUAUUUUCAUUCAUGGCCAAGUUACUCUUCAUUUCUGAGUGUUGAAACUAGAUGUAUGUGGCCUCGUUCUCUAUAGAAAUGCUGUUUUGACUGUAUUUAAGGCUAAUGACUGCACCAUCCCAAACACAACUGAUGUAAAGUGUUAAAACCUGCAAAUUCAAGCAAAAGUUUUCUUAAACAGGGUGUCCCAAA